GACUAGGGAUCCAAAGAGGGUGCUAGACCCUUACGCAUUGUUGACUUUUCGUACGCGUUCGUUUCUUGGAGUAGGGUUGUUUUGGAUCGCAGCCCAAAGUAGGUGGUAUACUUCAUCUAAAGCUAAAUACGACUACGAAUCCGAUAGCAAACAAGUACCGUGAGGGAAAGUUGCAAAGUACUUUGAAGAGAGAGUUCAAGAGGACGUGAAACCGGUAGGGUGGAAGCAGAUAAAGUUGACGAACGUGUGUCGUAUUCAGAACUACAAUUUGUGGUUUGUUUUUACGAUCGAUGUGGGCUGGCGUCUUUGGUUAACUUAGUGUCUGGCGGCAAUGGUGACCCUGCGGAGGGAUAAUCGGUUGUCGUGCGAUGCUUGGUAUGGCUAGAGGUUCGCUGGUCUUAUAGUCAUCGCUUUAUCUGACCCGUCUUGAAACACGGACCAAGGAGUGUAGCGCUUACGCGAGUCUUAGAGUGUGUCAAAACUUUGAGGCGUAACGAAAGUAAAUGUGGAUUUAUUCACUGACUUGGGAUGCGUUGUCUUUUUUGGAUAGCGUUGGACCAUGGUUUUAUCGUAAUCGCUUGCGAUGCGGUGAAAAUAGAGCGUAAGCGGUGCGACCCGAAAGAUGG
rnacentral:rRNA from 3 species